rnacentral:rRNA from 1 species
CGCGUAGGCGGUCUUGUCGGUCAGAUGUGAAAGCCCAGGGCUCAACCCUGGACGUGCAUUUGAAACAGCAAGACUUGAGUACGGGAGAGGAGAGCGGAAUUCCUGGUGUAGAGGUGAAAUUCGUAGAUAUCAGGAGGAACACCGAUGGCGAAGGCAGCUCUCUGGACCGAUACUGACGCUGAGGCGCGAAGGCGUGGGUAGCGAACAGGAUUAGAUACCCUGGUAGUCC